rnacentral:snoRNA from 1 species
AACAACUGUGAUGAACUCUACAGACCUGUAAUGAUUUGCGAAUAUGAUCGCAAGUUAAUGAACAUCUAAGGGACUGAGUUGUU